AUUGAACGCUGGCGGCAGGCCUAACACAUGCAAGUCGAGCGGAUGAAGGGAGCUUGCUCCUGGAUUCAGCGGCGGACGGGUGAGUAAUGCCUAGGAAUCUGCCUGGUAGUGGGGGAUAACGUCCGGAAACGGGCGCUAAUACCGCAUACGUCCUGAGGGAGAAAGUGGGGGAUCUUCGGACCUCACGCUAUCAGAUGAGCCUAGGUCGGAUUAGCUAGUUGGUGGGGUAAAGGCCUACCACGGCGACGAUCCGUAACUGGUCUGAGGGGAUGAUCAGUCACACUGGAACUGAGACACGGUCCAGACUCCUACGGGAGGCAGCAGUGGGGAAUAUUGGACAAUGGGCGAAAGCCUGAUCCAGCCAUGCCGCGUGUGUGAAGAAGGUCUUCGGAUUGUAAAGCACUUUAAGUUGGGAGGAAGGGCAGUAAGUUAAUACCUUGCUGUUUUGACGUUACCAACAGAGUAAGCACCGGCUAACUUCGUG
rnacentral:rRNA from 1 species